UGAACGCUGGCGGCGUGCCUAAUACAUGCAAGUCAAGCGAACAGACGAGGAGCUUGCUCCUCUGACGUUAGCGGCGGACGGGUGAGUAACACGUGGAUAACCUACCUAUAAGACUGGGAUAACUUCGGGAAACCGGAGCUAAUACCGGAUAAUAUAUUGAACCGCAUGGUUCAAUAGUGAAAGACGGUUUUGCUGUCACUUAUAGAUGGAUCCGCGCCGCAUUAGCUAGUUGGUAAGGUAACGGCUUACCAAGGCAACGAUGCGUAGCCGACCUGAGAGGGUGAUCGGCCACACUGGAACUGAGACACGGUCCAGACUCCUACGGGAGGCAGCAGUAGGGAAUCUUCCGCAAUGGGCGAAAGCCUGACGGAGCAACGCCGCGUGAGUGAUGAAGGUCUUCGGAUCGUAAAACUCUGUUAUUAGGGAAGAACAAAUGUGUAAGUAACUAUGCACGUCUUGACGGUACCUAAUCAGAAAGCCACGGCUAACUACGUG
rnacentral:rRNA from 1 species